rnacentral:rRNA from 1 species
UAAGGAAUUGACGGAAGGGCACCACCAGGAAUGGAGCCUGCGGCUUAAUUUGACUCAACACGGGAAAACUUACCCGGCCCGGACACAGGAAGGAUUGACAGAUUAAGAGCUCUUUCUUGAUUCUGUGGGUGGUGGUGCAUGGCCGUUCUUAGUUGGUGGAGCGAUUUGUCUGGUUAAUUCCGAUAACGAACGAGACUCUAGCCUACUAAAUAGACGCCUUCCGGUCAUUUACUGCCGGACGUUCUUCUUAGAGGGACAAGCGGCAUUUAGCCGCACGAGACAGAGCAAUAACAGGUCUGUGAUGCCCUUAGAUGUCCGGGGCCGCACGCGCGCUACAUUGAAGGAAUCGGCGUGUGCUUUCCCUGUCCGACAGGACUGGGUAACCCGUUGAACCUCCUUCGUGCUGGGGAUUGGAGAUUGUAAUUGUUCUCCAUGAACGAGGAAUUCCCAGUAAGCACAGAUCAUCAGUCUGUGUUGAUUACGUCCCUGCCCUUUGUACACACCGCCCGUCGCUACUACUGAUUGGAUGAUUUAGUGAGGUCUUCGGACUGGCAUCCGAGUCUGCUUUCGGGUGGUUUCGGCGUGCCGGAAAGAUGACCAAACUUGAUCAUCUAGAAGAAGUAAAAGUCGUAACAAGGUUUCCGUA